GUACGUUCGCCUGCCUGGGCUCCGAUCCUGAAGUUGGUGAAAUCCACUGCGGGUUUUCCAGGAGUGUAGAGGCGGAGAAGUCUAUCCGAGCUUCCAGUUCUGCUUCUGAAGCUGGAAGGGGCUUUUCGGUUGUAACCCUUGGGUUAGUUUCAGUUACUUCUUUGCUAGGUUGAGGAAAGGGUGGAAGCGCCUCCUGCAGCCACGAAUAUCCUCCAGUGCCUGAGAGAAAACGGCCUAAUCGAAAACGUCCGCGGCAUACAUCCAUUCUUAAAACUUGAGUGGCUGCUUUUCUGGGUGGAAAAGAGCGGUAUCAGACAGGUAACAAUGCCUGGAUUUUAUUCAGAUGCUGUGUACCCAGCCAAAAGACUACAUUUCUCAAUCUCCAUUGUAGCUGGAUGUGGCUGUGUGAUCAAGUUAUGACCAAUGAGAUAUAAGUAGAAGUAGCUUGGCCAGACACAGUGGCUCACACCUGUAAUCCCAGCCCUUUGGGAGGCCAAAGCAGGAGGAUCACUUGCACUCAGGAGUUGGAAACUGCAGACCAGCCUGGAGAACACAGUGACACCUUGUCUCUACACAAAAUGAAAAAGUUAGCAGGGUAUGGUGGCAUGUGCCUGUGGUCCCAGCUACUUCCAGCUACUUGGGAGGCUAAAAUGGAAGGAUCGCUUGAGCCUGGGAGAUUGAGGCCUCAGUGAGCCAUGAUCAUGCCACUGUACUCCAGCCUGGGUGACAAGAGCAAGACCCUGUCUCUCAAAAAAAAAAAAACGCGGCUGGGUGGAACAUCUGGAAAACAUCUUUAAAGAACGCUGACUCAAUCAGGAGGAGCACCAUUUUGUUUCUUGCCCUCUGCCCUUCCUGCCUGAAACAGGUAAGGUGACUACUGCUCUUUGGCCAUUAUGGGUGACAAACUGAACUUGAGACUGGAAGCCAUGUCCUAUAAAAGAUAAAUAGGGCCAGGCGCGGUGGCUCACGCCUCUAAUCCCAGCACUUUGGGAGGCCGAGAUGAGUGGAUCACGAGGUCAGGAGAUCGAGACCAUCCUGGCUAACACGGUGUAAACCUCGUCUCUAUUAAAAAUAACAAAAAAAUUAGCCGGG
rnacentral:lncRNA from 10 species